UACGGAGGGUGCGAGCGUUAAUCGGAAUUACUGGGCGUAAAGGGCGCGUAGGCGGCUUGGUCAGUCAGAUGUGAAAGCCCCGGGCUCAACCUGGGAAUUGCAUUUGAUACUGCCUAGCUUGAGUAUGAUAGAGGCAAGUGGAAUUCCAGGUGUAGCGGUGAAAUGCGUAGAUAUCUGGAAGAACACCAGUGGCGAAGGCGACUUGCUGGAUCAAUACUGACGCUGAGGUGCGAAAGCGUGGGGAGCAAACAGG
rnacentral:rRNA from 1 species